rnacentral:rRNA from 2 species
AGUAACACGUGGGUAACCUGCCCAUCAGAAGGGGAUAACACUUGGAAACAGGUGCUAAUACCGUAUAACAAUCAAAACCGCAUGGUUUUGAUUUGAAAGGCGCUUUCGGGUGUCGCUGAUGGAUGGACCCGCGGUGCAUUAGCUAGUUGGUGAGGUAACGGCUCACCAAGGCCACGAUGCAUAGCCGACCUGAGAGGGUGAUCGGCCACAUUGGGACUGAGACACGGCCCAA